UUACAUGCACAUCUCAUUACUCACAUGCUUAGGGGACUCAGAAUAGAGGUGAGGUCUGUCUCCUUGUGGUGAAUAUAUACACACAUUUGGUAAUGUAAGAGAGGAGCAGAGCUUUUUGAUUACAUUUUGUUACACAUACUAGUAGAACAAAAAUUAGCCAGAAUUCCCUAGAAUGAAGUUUGGUAUUCCACCAAGAAUAGAUGAGAACAUGGACCAAGACCCUGGUAAAAAGAACCACUCCUGCUGGGGCAACUGGCUGCUGCCACCAUAUAAUAUCCUUUCAGAGAUUUGUGAGUAAUUUGGUCAUCUAGAAUCUGUAGAAUUUAGACUGAGAUAUAACUCUCAGAACACUGUGUUCCCACAAGUCUGCACACAGUAGUCCAUACACCUUAAAAGAAUUUGCAAAGGCUUGGCUGCUUAAAGACAGAUCAACUAUGACCAGUGACAUUUUGAAUGUCGGAUGACUGAAUCAUUAGAAUCAAACUUUAUUUCAUUAAUGCCCUAUUUCUUUAAUUACAGAACCUACAUAAUUUAAGAAAAGCCUCUAGAAACUGAAUCAUACUUAAAUGCUGCAAAGAGCUACUGCUGCAGAAAUUAGAGAGCCUCAUUUUUCUAAUGCCAAAGCUGAAAGCACUCCAGGCAUUAAAAUGGAGAAACAAGUCAGAAGAAUGGACACAGCUGGACAAAACAGCCUUAGGAAAAUAAGAACUUAGUGGCAAGAUGUAACUUAAACAUUAAACUUAUCUUGCUGAGUUCAGUGUGAUCCACAAACCAAAUUUGUUUUAGACAACUGAAAUCAGCCAUUAGAAGGAAUGUACACUGACAGAUCUGUUUUCAGCUGCAGCUGAGGGUUAUCUAACUCAAAGUCUUCAGCAUUGUGAAAAACAUAAGAGAUCCUAAACAUUAGUAUGCAAACCAAAAACUGAAGUGAAACUAACAGCAAACAAACACAAAACAGAUCUGGAAGCGUGUGCAAAUUCAUGGUUUCUGGCCAUUAAAACUGCACCAUGUUACUGGUGUGCAAAAGCAUCAGACUCAAACCCAACUACCUCACCAUAGCUGCUCUACCCUUCUAGUCUUGCUCUCCUAAAAAUGUAGAGCAGCACCUGAUGAAAAUACAAAAUUUGCAACCAAUGUGCCUACCAAAUGUGUGCAUUAAGCCCUCCACAAAGAAAUUCCAAAGAAGUUGGGUUGUGUGUAAGGGGUCCCACUAGGCUUCGUGUUUACAGGAAAAAAAAUUCUGAAAAUAAGCAGCAGGUAAAAACAAAGCCCUUAUUCAUCAGCAGAUGACAAAGUUGUAUCUUUAUCAUUCAUAGAUGGCUAAAUUCCAUGCUGUUGGCUCCAUUUUUUUGCUGCAAGACUGACAGGUUUUACAAUCUCUGAUCCCAGAAUACACCUCCUUCCCCAAAAACAAUCAGCUGGUGGGCAAAGAAAAUUAUUAAAUUAUUCUGUACAUGCAUACAGAUCAGUAAACUUUGUGCAGCAGUUAGUAAUACCAUCUGUAAAUGUGCAAAUAAACAAAGCUUCAGAUAUGGAUUGAUUUAAAUGAAAUAGUUAUUGCUUUCCCUAGUUAGUUUAGAAAUGCCAAAUGAUGCAGAAACAGCUGUUGUAGGAGUCCUGCUGCCCACAGAAUGGAAUAAGGCAUCAGUUUCACGCUGAAGAUCCCUAUCACAAUGAAGUUUGAUUGAAAAUACAAGAAACAAAACCCAGACAAAACUGCAGGGGACUCAUUUAUAAAGGCUACUUUCCAUAAAGCCACGAACUUUUGAGAUGACAUUAUUUCUCAACAGAAGUAAGAAGCCAGACCAUUACAGCCUCACUGUCCCGUGCACUUCUCUCUAUAGCAGUAACUGCUGAUCCAAAGGCAUGCAAGAUGCUUUAGAGACCCAAGCAGAGCUUAUAGGCUCAGAUUCCAGCAGGCAGUAAAAAGAAGGAAAUAAACAGGAAGAGGAUCAGACAACUUUACAGAAUAAUUAAAAAAUAUUCUGUUUAAAUAAUUUCUUCAGGAUAGUAUGAAACAGCCAAGCUUUAAAGUGGUGGACUCACAGAUUUGGGCACUGUAAACCAAUACAAAGACAUUAUGGUGUAUUUUAUAAAACAGAAAUGUCUGAGGAUAAAUUAUGUCUGGUAUCACUGACAGAAGUAUAGAGAGGAAAAGUAGCAAGCAAUCAGAUGUAAAAGGAAAAGGC